rnacentral:rRNA from 1 species
GUGAGUAACACGUGAGUAAUCUGCCCCAGGCUCUGGGAUAGCCACCGGAAACGGUGAUUAAUACCGGAUACGACAACCGAUUGCAUGAUCUGGUUGUGGAAAGUUUUUCGGCCUGGGAUGUGCUCGCGGCCUAUCAGCUUGUUGGUGAGGUAAUGGCUCACCAAGGCUUCGACGGGUAGCCGGCCUGAGAGGGUGACCGGCCACACUGGGACUGAGACACGGCCCAGACUCCUACGGGAGGCAGCAGUGGGGAAUAUUGGACAAUGGGCGGAAGCCUGAUCCAGCAACGCCGCGUGAGGGAUGACGGCCUUCGGGUUGUAAACCUCUUUCAGCACAGACGAAGCGCAAGUGACGGUAUGUGCAGAAGAAGGACCGGCCAACUACGUGCCAGCAGCCGCGGUAAUACGUAGGGUCCGAGCGUUGUCCGGAAUUAUUGGGCGUAAAGGGCUCGUAGGCGGUCUGUCGCGUCGGGAGUGAAAACCAGGUGCUUAACACCUGGCCUGCUUUCGAUACGGGCAGACUAGAGGUACUCAGGGGAGAAUGGAAUUCCUGGUGUAGCGGUGAAAUGCGCAGAUAUCAGGAGGAACACCGGUGGCGAAGGCGGUUCUCUGGGAGUAUCCUGACGCUGAGGAGCGAAAGUGUGGGGAGCGAACAGGAUUAGAUACCCUGGUAGUCCACACCGUAAACGUUGGGCGCUAGGUGUG